GACAGAGGCCUCGAGCGUUAGGCGGAAUCACUGGGCUUAAAGCGUGUGUAGGCGGAUCGUUAAGUGUCUUGUGAAAUCCCACGGCUCAACCGUGGAACGGCUGGGCAUACUGGCGAUCUUGAGCAGCCUAGGGGCGACCGGAACAAACGGUGGAGCGGUGAAAUGCGUAGAUAUCGGAAGGAACAUCAGUGGCGAAAGCGACUUCCUGGACCAAUACUGACGCUCAUGUGCGAAAGCGUGGGGAGCAAACAGG
rnacentral:rRNA from 1 species